GGGGGCUUGAAAUCUUUUGACAGCUUCCGAAAUGCUAAUUUUUGACCUUUUUCAACUGGACCAAAUCACUUCUUUACAUUAUAAUUCAUGAAUCAAAUUUUUUUACAGUGUAAUUUUAUCCCCCUUCUUGCUACUUGAGGCAUAAAAUAUAAAUAAAUAAAUUUGGAAGGGGUAUAAAAAAAAAUUGACAAGUAACACACUGUCCACAGUAGGGACUAUAUUCGUGGACAACGAAAAUCAAGGGACG
rnacentral:lncRNA from 1 species